AAAAUGCAUGUAUUGGGGAAAACGCCAACACAGCAAAACUAUACGCAACGGAUACUUCGGAUAAAAAUCUGGACUCAGGCUAGGGAAAGAUAUGAACAAAACAUCCCUGCCGAGGAAAAUGCAUGUAUUGGGGAAAAAGCCAACACAACAAAAGGAGAUCCACAAUAAAAACUCCGUUGGGGAAAUCUAAAAAGACUCUCCAGG
rnacentral:lncRNA from 1 species